AGGGAGUAGAAGAGACCUCAGGAAGUAUAAUACUUGGACACACUAUGCGUUACUCUGGAGAUAGUUAUGAUUAAUUCUCACAGACAAUGAUGACCUCAGGUGAGGAAUAAGCACCUGACAGAAACUGAAGGAAUCAUCUGCUAAUAAUUUCUCACAUUUCUAUAUCACCAUUCAUCCCAAAACGCAUUAUAAAUUAUUCAACGCAUUAUUCCUCAUCCUCAAAACCUUCCAGAGGUUUGGCCCAAGAGACCUGAGAAAUUGUCUCAUUCUCUGUGAUCCUGACCUCCACAGCAACUGUCAACUCCAAAAAGGGGAUUUGUAUGAGCAGACCACAGAGCUUCCUCAGCAACUGGCUUCCAAAUAUAGAACUCAUUCCCAAAAGUCCCCAGAGCAAAAUGCUGAAACACCAACCCAAACAAAAUCUGCAAAAUAAA